UAGGGAAUAUUGGUCAAUGGACGCAAGUCUGAACCAGCCAUGCCGCGUGCAGGAAGACGGCCCUCUGGGUUGUAAACUGCUUUUAUAUGGGAAGAAACCUUCGGAUGCGUUCGAAGCUGACGGUACCAUAUGAAUAAGGAUCGGCUAACUUCGUGCCAGCAGCCGCGGUAAGACGAAGGAUCCAAGCGUUGUCCGGAUUUACUGGGUUUAAAGGGUGCGUAGGCGGAAAAUUAAGUCAGUGGUGAAAGCCCGCAGCUCAACUGCGGAACUGCCAUUGAAACUGAUUUUCUUGAAUACGGUUGAGGUAGAUGGAAUAUAACAUGUAGCGGUGAAAUGCUUAGAUAUGUUAUAGAACACCAAUUGCGAAGGCAGUCUACUAAGCCGUGAUUGACGCUGAGGCACGAAAGCGUGGGGAGCGAACAGG
rnacentral:rRNA from 1 species